GACGUAGGGCGCGAGCGUUGUCCGGAUUUAUUGGGCGUAAAGAGCUCGUAGGCGGCUUGUCGCGUCGUCCGUGAAAACCUGCAGCUCAAUUGCAGGCUUGCGGGCGAUACGGGCAGGCUAGAGUUCGGUAGGGGAGACUGGAAUUCCUGGUGUAGCGGUGAAAUGCGCAGAUAUCAGGAGGAACACCGGUGGCGAAGGCGGGUCUCUGGGCCGAUACUGACGCUGAGGAGCGAAAGCGUGGGGAGCGAACAGG
rnacentral:rRNA from 1 species